rnacentral:tRNA from 1 species
UGUAGCUCAGUUGGUUAGAGCGUUGCUCUUAUGAGCCGAAGGUCACGGGUUCGAGCCCCGCCA